rnacentral:lncRNA from 1 species
AAUAUUUCACACACUUUAUUAUUCAUGUUGGCUCUUUAAAUAAGCCAUAACUCAUCCACUUUUCCUAAACUAUUGCAACACAUCUUAACCGUCUAGGAAAUCAUGGGAAACAAGAAAUCGUAGGAAGGAUAAACACUAAAGCAAACUAAACAGACGAAAAACAAAUCCUAAUUAACAGCUGCAACGUGCCAACAGGAAUUGCAUGGACUUGGUCUUGGCUUCCACGUGCAUGAAUGCAUGGCCUUGGAAUUUUGGACUCCACUUCACUUGCAAAACAAGAAACAGAAUCUUUUCAAUAGCUCCAUUGAUUGACUUGGUCUUAUUCUCAAAUUGCCGGCCACGUUAUCUCUCUCACUUAUCACCUAAGAUAUGAGUCAUCAGUGUAUUUGGCACAUUUGUUCUCGAAUUGUUUCCAACACAUGUUAUUUCCCCAGUGUGUUUCAUUUCCAGCACACCUAUAGAACAUAUUCUAAAGAUAUUUGCAGCUUUCCUCUUGGUCUAUAGUCAUCAUGAAUUUUAUCCUAAGAUAUGAUUCAAUAAGGACUUGAGCAUGUCUUGUGGUGAGGAACCUUCUUUUAGUAUCACCUGAACUCAGACAAAAUCAAAAUUAAAAAGCAGCAGAAAAGCAAGAUUGUGGGUUCCUAACGAAGUUUCCUCAACACAAGCACUAAAGAAUGCAGCAAUGAUUCUUGUUCACUUAUUAGUAAAAUAAUGAAGGAUCAAAUUCUGAUUGGAAAACACUUGCAUUCUCAAACAAUCUCAAAUUUAAAAAGAUAACAACACAUCACACUUAUCACUAAUACAGUCAGUGAUGAGAUGCAAAAAUUACCAAAUUUAAAAUGAUUUCGAUUGCAUCAAACUAUUAAACUAAUCAACGGUUUUCUCACACUUCAAACAUACAUCAAUACAUGAUAAAUCCCAUAGCAAUAACUGCCCCAACUAAGAACAUGAUCAACAACUGAAAAUCGGCUCCACCGUUCGAUUUAUACCCGGCAGUCAAAAUCUCCUAUACUCUCCUGUGUGCCCACAUGUUGGGAAUGGACAGUGUUUGUCUUGCGAACUUCCUACAAAUGAAAUUUAUAAUGUCAUUUACAAACAUUUCAACCUCAACUUAGGUAAGUUGGUCUAUGUAAAUCUCUUGGUCAAUUACCUGAACAUUGACUGGAGGUGAGACAUAGAUGGCUUUAACUGGGCAUAAGCAUUCAUUUUCUACUCAGUCAAUUUUAAAAUUGAAUUCAUUCAUGAGUAGUUUAGGAAGCUGAAAUUUAAGUUGGUCGAAAAUUAGCUGCGCAUAAGCAGUUUCGAUUUCCAUAUCUAACUUGGUCGGAAAUUAAGUUCGAAAUAAGGAAGCUGAAAAUUAAAUACGAAAAUAAUAUAACAAAUAGGGAAGCUAAAAAUUAAAUUCGAAAUAAUCUUACCCAUGGCGUCAUCAGCAUCGAGGUCGUCGCCCCGGGAGCUGUCGGCUUUGGUUUCGUUGGCGGCUUCGUCACAAAAUUGCUCACCUUCAACCCAUGGUGUCAUCGGCCUCGAGUUCAUCAUCAUGUCACCACCGACGUCGAAGUUGCCUGCGCCAUGGAAUGGAUUUGGUUCAGAUUUGAUUUUGGAUUUGGGAUGAAAACUUUUAGUUUCGAAAGGGGGGGAAAUAUGCGGGGGAAACAGAGGUGCCUUUUUUCUUCUUUUUCACUGCUCAUAAGACGAGAUUUUGACUUUCAAAGUUACCGCCACGUCAGCAUUG